AUCCAGCUGACGAGUCCCAAAUAGGACGAAACAUGCGUCCUGGAU
rfam:Schistosoma curassoni strain Dakar, Senegal genome assembly, scaffold: SCTD_scaffold0017187